rnacentral:rRNA from 1 species
GCAACCCUUGAUCUUAGUUGCCAGCAUUCAGUUGGGCACUCUAAGGUGACUGCCGGUGACAAACCGGAGGAAGGUGGGGAUGACGUCAAAUCAUCAUGCCCCUUAUGACCUGGGCUACACACGUGCUACAAUGGACAGAACAAAGGGCAGCAAAACCGCGAGGUUAAGCCAAUCCCACAAAUCUGUUCUCAGUUCGGAUCGCAGUCUGCAACUCGACUGCGUGAAGCUGGAAUCGCUAGUAAUCGCGGAUCAGCAUGCCGCGGUGAAUACGUUCCCGGGCCUUGUACACACCGCCCGUCACACCACGAGAGUUUGUAACACCCGAAGUCGGUGAGGUAACCUUUUAGGAGCCAGCCGCCGAAGGUGGGACAGAUGAUUGGGGUGAAGUCGUAACAAGGUAGCCGUAUCGGAAGGUGCGGCUGGAUCACCUCCUUUCUAA